CGAUAGUGAACCAGUACCGUGAGGGAAAGGCGAAAAGAACCCCGGCGAGGGGAGUGAAAAAGAACCUGAAACCGUGUACGUACAAGCAGUGGGAGCACCCUUUGGGUGUGACUGCGUACCUUUUGUAUAAUGGGUCAGCGACUUAUAUUCUGUAGCAAGGUUAACCGAAUAGGGGAGCCGGAGGGAAACCGAGUCUUAACCGGGCGUUAAGUUGCAGGGUAUAGACCCGAAACCCGGUGAUCUAGCCAUGGGCAGGUUGAAGGUUGGGUAACACUAACUGGAGGACCGAACCGACUAAUGUUGAAAAAUUAGCGGAUGACCUGUGGCUGGGGGUGAAAGGCCAAUCAAACCGGGAGAUAGCUGGUUCUCCCCGAAAGCUAUUUAGGUAGCGCCUCGUGAAUUCAUCUCCGGGGGUAGAGCACUGUUUCGGCUAGGGGGCCAUCCCGGCUUACCAACCCGAUGCAAACUGCGAAUACCGGAGAAUGUUAUCACGGGAGACACACGGCGGGUGCUAACGUCCGUCGUGAAGAGGGAAACAACCCAGACCGCCAGCUAAGGUCCCAAAGUCAUGGUUAAGUGGGAAACGAUGUGGGAAGGCCCAGACAGCCAGGAUGUUGGCUUAGAAGCAGCCAUCAUUUAAAGAAAGCGUAAUAGCUCACUGGUCGAGUCGGCCUGCGCGGAAGAUGUAACGGGGCUAAACCAUGCACCGAAGCUGCGGCAGCGACACUGUGUGUUGUUGGGUAGGGGAGCGUUCUGUAAGCCUGUGAAGGUGUGUCGUGAGGCAUGCUGGAGGUAUCAGAAGUGCGAAUGCUGACAUAAGUAACGAUAAAGCGGGUGAAAAGCCCGCUCGCCGGAAGACCAAGGGUUCCUGUCCAACGUUAAUCGGGGCAGGGUGAGUCGACCCCUAAGGCGAGGCCGAAAGGCGUAGUCGAUGGGAAACGGGUUAAUAUUCCCGUACUUGGUGUUACUGCGAAGGGGGGACGGAGAAGGCUAUGUUGGCCGGG
rnacentral:rRNA from 1 species